rnacentral:rRNA from 1 species
AGAGUUUGAUCAUGGCUCAGAAUCAACGCUGGCGGCGCGCUUAACACAUGCAAGUCGCACGAGAAAGUGGAGCAAUCCAUGAGUAAAGUGGCGUACGGGUGAGUAACACGUGGGUAAUCUACCUCUUAGCGGGGAAUAACCCUGGGAAACCGGGGCUAAUACCGCAUAAUCUCGAGAGAGGAAAGCAGCAAUGCGCUGAGAGAGGAGCCCGCGGCCGAUUAGCUAGUUGGCAGGGUAAGAGCCUACCAAGGCAUAGAUCGGUAGCCGGCCUGAGAGGGCACACGGCCACACUGGCACUGAAACACGGGCCAGACUCCUACGGGAGGCAGCAGUGGGGAAUCUUGCACAAUGGGGGAAACCCUGAUGCAGCGACGCCGCGUGAGCGAUGAAGCCCUUCGGGGUGUAAAGCUCUUUCGGCAGGGAAGAUGAUGACGGUACCUGCAGAAGCAGCUGCGGCUAACUACGUGCCAGCAGCCGCGGUAAUACGUAGGCAGCGAGCGUUGUUCGGAGUUACUGGGCGUAAAGGGUGUGUAGGCGGUUCUUUAAGUUUGGUGUGAAAUCUCCCGGCUCAACCGGGAGGGUGCGCCGAAUACUGAGGGACUAGAGUGCGGGAGAGGAAAGUGGAAUUCCUGGUGUAGCGGUGAAAUGCGUAGAUAUUGGGAAGAACACCGGUGGCGCAAGCGACUCGCUGGGCCAUUACUGACACUGAGGAACGAAAGCUAGGGGAGCGAAUGGGAUUAGAUACCCUAGUAGUCC